GCACGUGUUCCUUAUCUGGAGGAACUGAACCUGCCUCGAUGGUGCUGGGGUUCGUCAUUGCUAACGUGCUGACGUCAUGGAGAUUUCGGGGAAAAUAAUAGGAAAUUGUGGUCCAACGUUGCCCGUGGGGAACAUCCCAGCAGCCGUUAUCCAGAGGACGGACUACAAUUUAUUACAUUUCCAAACCCCAAACGCAAUCUGGAAUAAUGCAAGAGAUGGAUGAAGGCCUGUAGCCGACCUCAUGUCCAAAUGAAUGAAACUGAUGACAGCAACUACCCCAUGUUCAUCUGCACGAAGGGCUCUGGAGUCUUGGCCUGACCUAUUGACAUUCAGCUUCUCGCCAGAUUAAGCAGCGAAUGGAGCCUCUAGAAAGGGUAAACACACUGGAGGAACAAUGACCAACAGGCAGCAACCUUAUUGGAUUCUAAUUAACUGCCAGGAGAGAUGGCUACGGGGAUGUUAAGUGCUGUGGGACACAAGUUAAACCCCCAGACCUCAAGCACCACAACUCGCAUCACCAAUUGUCUUCCUUUAUGAGGACUGUUAAUGUCCUUUCUGUAUAUUUAUUUGUGUCAUUCCGUUUCUCGUUCUCAGGACUCCUACAUAGGGGGUUGAGAGAAGCACAAGAAGGAUGAAAAGAUUAUGUAACUUUCUGAGAGCUGAAAAAACAAUGAGAAUAAAUAUCCAUCCAUCCAGCCAUUCACUUUCGCAGAUUCCACAUUUAAAGCUUUGCCAAUAUACCUAAAGCAUACCAGCGUUUUCUAUUUAGUAUUUAAAAAUAUGAGUCUGGAAAAGUUCAGAAUUUUGACUUAAAAAAUGUGUAGGAACUUUAACGUCCUUUAGUUUGAAUCACAUUACCGUCUGUUUUACAUGCGAUACAUAAGAACAGCAAACAGACACUUUUCAAAGCACAAAGAAAUUGUGGGCUGACUCACCCACAAUUUUUUUUUUUUUUUGUUUUGUUUUAUUUGACAAGGUGGAACGCAGCUUGUCCCCCUGAGGCAGCGGUUUGACUGAUCAGGUUAAAAUGGGCUGAAAAAUCGGGAGAGAUUAUUUUAUAUUAAACAGAUUGAAUUGUCUCCAGUGAAGAAUAAGGAAGAAGAAGAGGAAAAUCAUUUUUCUGCAUCGCCCUCAGGAGGAGAAGUGAGGGAGAUAAAUGGGAAGGAGUGAGCAGCCGAUCCUCAGUGGUCACAAAUCUGAAAAAUGCAACCUUUUCUUCCUUUGCUCCCUCUCCGCGCCCAAAAGAUGUGGGGCGCUAAUUUGAGGGAGUCCAAACUGGCCGGGCAUACAUGUGAACGUCCCCCCGCUUGAGCGCUGGGCACUCUUGUCUUUUUUUUUAGUGGUCCCCUGAUUAGGCUAACUCACAAUGGUGAUGUGGUUUCAGGGGUCCCUGGUAUGAAACCACAAGCACUAAUUAGACUGGGCUCAUUAAUGCGUUAGUGUGCGGGAGAGAGGACCCGGACCACCAAGGGUUGAGACUGACACGGGAGGGGGGAUGCAAUGCCUGACUGGAGACAGGCCAUUGUCACCUCAGCCGGCAUAUAAAGCCUUUCAUUAAUUAGUGUGAAAACACACAUGCACACACAGAGCGGCAUAUGUACACAAAACCACAUGCAGACUCUCACUUCCUUGAAAAUACACAUAUUAAGGCUAUGGGUAUUCCAUAUACCCACUGCUUGUUAGCACAUUACCUUGAAUCAAAGAGCCAACGUUUGCCAGAAGAGACGGCUACAAGUGUUAUUUGUUGAGGAUGAUUCCAGCCCAGUGUUAUGCGUUUGUCCUUUGGCAACCCUGGCGAGAUAAAGUUUUUUUUCUCUCCCGCACAGAACGAACAAACCUCUUCCCUUGUCCCCAUCAUGUGAGAGCCUCUGAAACCCUCAGAAACCCUCAGAAUACUUUUUUUUAAAUCAAAGCACGAAGGAAAUGAAUAAGAGCCUCAGUUGUGAUCUGAGCCUGGAGGUGUAAACGGGGGCGGGGGGAUCCACAUGACCAGUGUCCAUUUCCACACCAUUACUGCACCAGUCAUGGCUGUAAUGGCUUGAAUUGGGUCAUUGAUUUCUCUCAUCCACCCUGUCUUUCACUCACAAAAAAUAAAAAAAUAAAAACAGUCUGUGCAGGUUCCGCUAUAUGAGCCCAGACCUUUUUAAACAGAAUGUUGAAUGUGCCAAGACAGCUUUGCACUAGAUGUAAACCCUAAGCCUACAGCACAGGUACCACUGGUGCUACCUGGGCUGCCUUAGUGGUGCUCUAGAAGGCUUUUGAUAUCACUUGUUUGCAAAGUAACUGAUGUAGAUAUUUGUUUCAUCAGAACCUUCUAAAUAGAUGUAUGUAUAUUUACUAUAAUCUGUGGCUAUACUUUUGUUGUUUUGAAGACAAAAUCUAAUUAAGGUGUAUUCUCGUUUAAAUACUUAAUAAUGGUACCAAAUCACCUACAUUUGCUACAAGAUAUGCUCAGUUAUCAGGCUAAUUAUCAAUACAAGGUGAUAACAAUAUUCUAUCCAUGUUGUGCCUUUAGUCGACAUAUGAAAGGUUUUGGAGGAUAAAAAUUAGAUGUGCAGCUAAGCUGGUUUUAUUGUAUCUAAAUUCUAUGAAAAAGAAAAAACAAUUACGCUGACGACUGAGGUUGGGUUGGGUGAGAAAAAUCAUAAUUUUCCAAUUUAAAUUCCAAAUUCAAGGUGAUAAUUCUGGGAACUAUUCCAAAUUCAAAACAUGGAAAUUUCCCCCUUGACUUAAAAUGGAACACAUGAUUGAGCCACAUCAUUCAACCAUUCAGUAGCACAAAUGAGAACUUUUUCUUCUUUUUUUCAUAAAUAAAGUAACUUAGAAAACUUACAAAGUCCAAAUUCUGCUUUACUAGUGUUGUAAAUUUCAUUUCAGUGUGGUGCUACUUGUAAAUCCGGUGCAUAAAAAGCGGGGGAACUAACGCCUUGAGUCAGAAAAAAAUAACCUACAUGCAAACUCUCCCGCGCAACCAAUGCAGUGAGUCCAGGUUUGAGUUCCUAGAGGGGUUAAACAUAGGACUGAGUUUAAAUUGGCUUUUUAAAAACUCCCUUGACCGCUCACGGAGUUAAACACGAGCCACUACAGUCUGUCAGAUGUCUGUUUAGAGAAAGAGGAAUGACUAAGUGGAGGUUUAGAGUGUGGUUAAUGGCUAAUCUGAAGUGUGACGACUCCAGAGCAUCUUCUCUUGACCAGCCUCAAUGGGCCUCCAAUCAAGCCUGACAAGCCCUUCAAUCCUUGGUCAGCAGUUUUAACUGACCUGUGACUGAGUGGCUUCAUUAAGGGUCUAUUUAUCUUUCUCUCUACCAGAGACCUAAAAAAAGGCUUGUGACAUGUCCAACACACCAAGGUACCGCCCCACAGGAACCAGAGCAGAUGCAUCCCUGUAUUAGCACAUGAAGAGAAAGCUACGAGUGUGGCAUAGACAUCUAAUGAACCACCCUUCAUCCCCUGAUCAGACUUAUGUGGUACCGCCACCUCACGAUUUCUUACCAGAGAAUGUUUUGCAGGGUAUGGAGCUUAUGAAGGGCUUGGCAUGUGUUGUUAAGAGUAAUCCUGCCUGAACAAAAUAGCAGACCAGAUGAACUCGUGACCUCUAAAAAAGAAAAAAGAUGGGGACCCUCCCAAACAAGCCACAACAAACAGCUUUCUGUAGCCACUCUGUGCCUUUGAUCUGAAGGAGCUGAGAUGAGAUCAAUCUCCUCUUCCCUCUCUUCUCUUUUGCCCUUUUCUCUUUUCCUGUACAACAUCUCCUUAUACGUCUCUUUCCCCUCCUGCUGAGCAGGUGUAUAAAUUGAGGCGCCUUAUUCCUGUGGCACUGGGCCGCGCCUAAAAGUGCAGUCUGUGAAGAGAGCUUUUCUCUGCCUGCCUCUCAUCUUUUAUCCUUUGCAUCGCCUCAUCUCCUUUACUCACCCUUUUUCCUCUCCCUUUAUCCUUCUCCAUCCCCUUUACUCCUUUUAACGCGUUCCCUCGCACUCUUGAAUAUGAAACAGAGGGCCCAAGCCUCUCAUCUAUCUGAAUUCAUCAACACCUCCCCGUCUAUCUUCUUCUGCACGUCUCUCUUUCAGCCUAUUGUCUGUUUAGCUAUACGUCUAAUUAUGCUGUCUCACUUAUGUAAUUAGUGCAAAAAUAAAUGGCUGCCAUAGCUUGGUGUGUUCCCCUCCCUCACCCUUCCCAGUGCAAGCUCUGAGAAAACAAAUUAUGGAGUACAAUAGGUACAAAUGGCUUCUGCACCAAACCACAUGAUGGAUGCAUUCUGGGUUCCCUGCAUCUCAUCCGUUCUCUUUUUUCCCUCACUCUCUUUACUCUUCCUUCUUUCUCCAUUAUCCCCAGCUCUAUAUGUCUCUGUUCGGAAACUAGAGAGGACUUGAGCGCUUUCUCACCCACCUACCCCAUCAUUGGAUGGCUAUAUCAUCCGUCUUCUCUUCUUGGCAAUGACACUAUAUUCACCCUGACAAGAUAUUAAGCAAACUACUUUUUUUCCCCUCCCCAUCUUUUCUUUUUCUCUCUGCUCUGAGCUCUUUCCCCGUUCUCUCCAGUGGUUCCCUUUUCUCCACUAUCCCCCAGAGCAUUCCGUAAACCAUGACUGCAAAGCAAACGCCUGGGACUUUCAAAAGCAAACAGCGAGCGUCCCCGUGCCAUACCCCCAUCUGUGGAUAGUCUGAGCGGGGGAACAAUCGGUCCCUGUACUCCUCCGCUUCGUUCUAUUUCCGGCCCCCAGGGAUCUGCGCAACGCAAAGGAUAUCUCAGUCAGAUGGGUGCAAUGUGCUGGAACAAUGGUUGGACUGCUUCCUCUUUAGAAGAUGGGUGUUUGGUUUACCUUAGCCAGCUUGGGAAGCACUUAGCCAUGUGUUUUGUUUUUCUUUUGUUGUUUUUUUUGCCCUCCGCAUAGCAUCUUUACAAAAACGUAGCAAGCGUCUGCCGCACCACCCUUAUCUGCACUCUUAAGCUGACACAUGGACGCUCAUGAGAGGACACGAUGCUUAGCCCAGGGUGUUGCAUUAUCAACUUUCUGUUAAUCCGCCUCAGACUUUCAGUCUGUUACCCCUUUGUUGCUUUUCACCUCUGUUGUCUGAGAAGAAGAACAGCAGGUUUUCUUUACACUAACACAAGUAUAUCCAUUACCUGGAAUGCUAGGCUCCUGGCAGUAAAUCCUUUUGACCCCCCUGUGCCUUUCUUUCUUUUCUCUCUCCCGCUCCGUCUCUCAUGCUGAGCCCAUUGUUAUCUUUGCAUCAGCUUUCUUUCCCCAAACAGACAGGAGGAGAGAGACACACCUUACCACCACCCACCAUCAAUGCCUCGGCCACCUACACACUUUGCUCUUCGCUCGCUUCUCAGAACCACUCAAUGGCAUUAACGUGUUUUGCCACUCGGGGAACUGCAGUUAAAUUUUCAAUCAGUAACCUUUGACUGACAUCCCUUCAGGUUUUGGAUCUCCUCUUCACCUCCUAGGUUGAGAUUCCUAAGUUUUCCCAGCAAAAAAAAAAAAGAAAAAAAAAGGGAAACAGAAUACAGGCUAUGUUUACUCUAAACCCACAGAGAACCUCCUGAAACAACACAGAGCAGCCCAAGCAAAAACAGACCAACUAUUUUGGUUAUUACUUUGAUCAAUAACAAAAUAUUUGUCCUGGAAUCGCUGCACGUGUGAACUGAUGGAGUUAAAGAAAGUGAUGAAAAGGGAGUUUGGAGAGGAAUGCUGGAUGAAAUCAAAGUAACGGUGAUCUUUAUUCUUCAGUGAGUCCCAAUCACAUUCAUAUCAAAGAUAUUGGCAUGACAAGUAGUAAAGAGAUUCCUUUUUAAUUGUUUGAUACAAAGAAUAGUUGAUACGUAGUCUGUAUGUAGCCUAAAGUGUACGGUUAUUGCCCUGACCACAUGCUGUUUACUAGUGGGCGUGUGUUUAAAUACUGGCAAAAGAUUGGACAUAGGAACUUCCAACUGGACAUUUACUGGUCUGAACUAAGCAAAGCGAAAAUCUGUCAUUUGGUGGUCGACAGUCUAUUUCUUGGUGCAACUCCUCUAUAACAUUCAUGUAGUUGAUUGUGGAGAUGAGGUGUUAAUUGAGUUGCAGUGUCGACUGGACAAUCUGACUGCACCGUCUAGCUAUAGGGGAAAAAAAGCACACGGCCCUGAAGAUGUCGGAAACUCAUCCCAGCCCAUCAGUUACUUUUUCAGUGUCUGCCCUUGACCUCUCUGAGUAUGCCUAUGUGUUGGGGAUGUUGCCUCAGCAAGCUUCUUUUGAUCCAUUACUAUCUGAGCUCUUAGCCCUAGUGCACAGCGCUGAAUAUUUCAGCUCCUCUGCCACCAACAAUCAAAUUUCAUAAAUAGGGAGUGAGAAGUGAAGUAAAAUGGAUCAGCAUCUGGUGUCAAAUUAAUGCUGUCUGGUGGCACUGCAAAUGGGACUUUUCGUUUUUUUGUUUUUUUUCCCGCAAGACUCCCCCUGGCUGCCAAAAUCCAUACAGCUAUCUCUAAACAAGGUUAAAUAACACGGCUGGUGAAGAUAACACAGGAACAGAUAUUGCUGCGACGCAGAAGAUAAAUUUCAAUUUGCUGUUGGUUUUUGUCUCUCGGCAGGAGAUAUGAAAUCCUUGUCUUCCCAGGCAGCAAUUGAUUGGAAAAUAAAAAUGAAUGUGUGGUCCUAUAUGUCUCAUGUUUUUUUUUGUUUUUUUUUCUUUCUUUCUGUCUUGGUUUCUGGGUUUAGAGUCUUCUGGAGCAGUGAUACUGUACAUCUCUCUAGAAGGAGGUGACACUUGCGUUUUUAGGGGAGAUAAAUGCAAUUCAAGCCUUUCUUGAAAUAGCUGCUACUGUAUGAACGCGACUCUUCCCCUUGGGGGGAUGUUUUAAUGAAAGGCACCAAAUUAAUCCCACUUUCCCCCCUCUUUCCAUUACUGUGUUUGCACAGAAGAAUAAAAAGGGUAAAUAACUUUCUGCUUUUUCCACUCUUUUCUAUGCUGAUGAUACAAGGAAGGGGUGUGUGGGGGGGGGGGGGGGGUCUCAAGGCAGGAUGCUGACAUGGCCCUCCUUUGCCCUCCUAGUCCCUUUCAUUUCCUCUCCAGAUCUUCCGACUGACUCAAAGGAAGACAUGGUGAGGAUGUGAGGAUGUGCGGAGACGCACACGGGGACAGAGCGAAGACAAAGACAAAAGGAGGAUGGGCGGAUAGAGAUAAAAAUAAAACUGGAUGAGGCCAAGUGCCAUCAACAGUUUGCUACCUGGCUACUCUUGUGCUUUCCUGUGUUUUGCCUGAGCCAGCAGCGCACAUCCAGUUAAGUUGCUCAGAGCUGAUAACGACGCCUCAGGACACGCUGCCAAGUUCUUUAUCUGUGUUUACCCAAAUGGCAAAACUGAUUAGAGACGAGCAACGUUAUGAAGCUCCAUUGUUCUCUGUUUUAGUUCUGUCUUCUUCUUCCGUAAGGGCGGGGGAAGGGGAAGCGUGAGGAUAUGAAGAGAGCUCGAAAGACAAUGGUCUUCAAGACUGUCACAGAAAACAGAGCGUUAUUAAAAAUCUUGGUCGUGUUGUGCAACUGUUUAGCAUUUCCCCAUCGAAUUUUAAGAUUUUAACACAAAAAUUGCACAGCUCUUCUUCAGAUAAUAUAUUAAGACGCCACAUUCUCUUCAAAAUGAACUCGUCUUGAAAAACACUAUCCAGUUGACUGAACUUUGAAGAUGUGUAAAGUGGCACUGUGAGCACAAAUUGUGAAUGCUUUAUUCAGUUUGAUACACUGCUUCUAAUUUUGUCAAUCUUAUUGUGAAGUACAAAAUGGAGCGGUUCCUGAGUUGUUGCCUAGUUGUGUUGACAGUCAACAUACACAGACGUUUCACCGACACCCUGUUACAAAAGUACCGAAGCAUCAACAAUUAGUUUAUAAAAUGUAUGUUACCUAAGACACUUUGAAUUGAUGUGGAUAAUUCUAGAUUAAAGAGAGAUUUUUGAAAUGCAGUCUGAGAUUCAUAAAACCUCUAUAUUGUUUUUGAAAAAGAAAAACAAAAUGCAUUUUAUGUCUGUAAAACACAUUUUAUGAUUUGUAUGAUUUUAACGCCUCUUCCUCUCAUGAAUCCAACAUCAGGCAUCAUCUCAUCUUAAGAGCUGGAUGUAUUGUCAACCUUUACAUAUUAGGAUAAUACUACUGAUUAAUGGGUAUUUCAAGAAUCUAGCAAUUUUAAAUAUGAUUUCAAGACUGCUGAAAUGCUCCGUCCAUCAUAGUUUGUCUUGUUGUAGUGUUUUUGUUUUGUUUUUUAAGAAAAAAAAAAGUGAUGGAGAAACAGAGUUUUCUCCAACAGUGUGGAUGAUAGUUCAACACAAUGAUGUCCACCUGUUGCUGUGCAGUGCAGUUACCCCAGAUUUUUUUUUUAAAAACAAAGCAUUUAGUUAAUUUAUUCCAUAGAUCCGUUACGUUUGUAUUGCCGUGAAACCAUAGCGUAUUUACUUAGCGUGAUCUUACAGUGAGAAAUCUCAUCCUGACCCAUGUCUAAUUCAGAUUCCACCUCCAGUACAAAACCCUUCAAGAAACCCGUUACUCAGAGCUCAUACAGCAUACCCAGCAGAGAGGAAAAUAUCCAUAUCUUUGCCAUGACUUUGUCUUCUAAAUAAUGCAAUACAUUGGUGUUCGGGACUCAGACGUGUUCGAAUUCUGCUGUGUUUGCACUAUCUCGCACCUCGUCUCUCACACACCUCACUGGCUUGCUGGGGUUUUCUGCCUCUCCAAACUUUCUACCAUGGAAUCCUUUUAUCAUUAGGGCUUAAAAUUUUUUUUUUUUUUUUUUUAUUUUUUUGAAGAAGUAAGGACAAAGCAAAGCGAUUCUAACCAUGAUUCUGGGUUUGUUUGACAAGAGCAACAAGACAGAAAAAAAAAAAAAAAAAAAAAAAAA